GACCAUUGCAAAGACGCUGCCGAGUGAAGCUGGAUACUUCCUGUCCUCAUCCGGACCCCGAUAUCUGGUUGUGGGGCAGCUGUCGCGCUUACCACCCAUUUCCCAGGAUCAGAGUUUUGUGUCUUUGCAGAACCAUGGGCAGCAAGAAGAAGGAAAGUGCCCUACAGGUCAACAUCAACACCCAGGAGCUUUGGGAGGAAAUGCUCGGCUCCAAAGGACUGACUGUUGUGGACGUCUACCAGGGCUGGUGUGGCCCCUGCAAACCUGUGGUUAGUCUCUUCCAGAAGAUGAGGAUCGAGGCUGGUUUGGACCUUCUCCAUUUUGCUUUGGCAGAGGCAGACUGUCUCGAUGUUCUGGAAAAAUACCGAGGGAAGUGCGAGCCAACCUUUCUGUUCUAUGCAGGAGGAGAGCUGGUGGCUGUGGUGAAGGGGGCCAAUGCUCCCCUGCUUCGGAAGACCAUCUUACACCAGCUGGAGGUGGAGAAGAAGGUUCUGGCUGAAGGCAGGGAACGGAAUGUGGUUACUGACGAGGCUCUUUCUGGUGCAGCCAAGUGUCCUCCCCGAGAAAAGGAUGGCGGUGAUGGCGGUGAAGAUGUUGACAUAGGCAUAGUGCCAUCAGAGAAGAAGGCCUGUACAUUAGGCAUCAUUAAGCCCGACGCAGUGGCCCACGGGAAGGCUGACGAGAUCAUCAUGAAGAUCCAGGAAGCAGGAUUUGACAUCCUAUCAAACGAAGAGAGAACCCUGACAGAGGCAGAAAUGCAAGUGUUCUAUCAACACAGAGCUGGGCAGGAGGCGUUUGAGAAGCUAGUCCAUCACAUGUGCAGUGGACCCAGCCACCUCCUGAUCCUCACCAAGACCGAGGGCACCGAGGAUGUAGUCGCUGCUUGGCGAGACUUCCUGGGGCCUUGUGACCCCAGUGUGGCCAGGAGGGAACACCCUGAAAGGAAGGGAGCCUAGUCGCCAGAAGUGGAGCUGGAAGCCAGAGCUGCUUUUUUAAAGGGAGAGAGACCAUGCCCCAAUGGGCUAUCUCAGCGGCUAUUGGCUGAAGGUGCGGAAGGAGCUCCCGCAACAGCCCAUGGACAGACAACAGGAAAGAACUUCACUAACAGCUAAAGCCCGAGAGCUGUCCCUUGCAGUCGUAAGGGGCAAGGGCAUCUAACUGAGGCUAAGUAAAGCAGUGGGGGGCUCAGAUCUUAGGUCACCACCUAAUGGGCAAGUCCCUAAAUUGGCUUCAGUUCCUAGGCUGUAAAGUGGGGACAUCCAUGAUCACAGAGGACACAGGCAUGUAGAGCUGUGCUCAGCACAUGGGUCCGACCCAGCACUGUCAGUGUUACAGUUCUUAUCAAAGUUAGUCGUGACACACGGUGUGGUGCAAGCCCUAGGCAGACACCCAACAGUGGGACCUGUAGUCUCCCUCUGGGCAAUGGUUAAAAAAAAAAAAAAAAAAAAAGCCAGGUCCUGUGUGUAAUGCCCCUGGCCAGCAGCUGCUGGCAUGGUUGCUGUUCUUGGAUUCUCCACAAAGAGCAAGCACCCUCAUGCUGAUUGGUAGCUGGUGGUCCUGUUACCAGAGAGCAAAACAUUUCUUUUCGAGUGAAGCAAUUGUUUCUUUCCCAUUGUACCCCCGCUCCCAGUCUCCGGGCUCAGUAUGGCACAGAAAUGCCCUUUAACGCUGUGCAUGGAAGCCGGGACAGAGACGAUGCCAACAGAGAGCUGGCCCUGCUCUUUCCCAGCUUCAGGUUUUCAGAUAAAGACACGGAAGCCCCACAGGGUGCUGAGGCUC